rfam:Ipomoea nil DNA, scaffold: scaffold1636, cultivar: Tokyo-kokei standard.
GAUGGUUUGGCCGAGUGGUCUAAGGCGCCUGAUUUAGGCUUUGGUUUGAAAGGGCGUGGGUUUCAAAUCCCACAGCUGUCA